rnacentral:rRNA from 1 species
AUCAUGGCUCAGGAUGAACGCUAGCUACAGGCUUAACACAUGCAAGUCGAGGGGUAGCAGGGUAGCAAUACCGCUGACGACCGGCGCACGGGUGAGUAACACGUAUCCAACCUUCCCAUAACUCAGGGAUAGCCUUUCGAAAGAAAGAUUAAUACCUGAUAGUACUUUUCAAGGCAUCUUGAGAAAGUUAAAGAUUUUAUUGGUUAUGGAUGGGGAUGCGUUCCAUUAGAUAGUUGGUGAGGUAACGGCUCACCAAGUCUUCGAUGGAUAGGGGUUCUGAGAGGAAGGUCCCCCACAUUGGUACUGAGACACGGACCAAACUCCUACGGGAGGCAGCAGUGAGGAAUAUUGGUCAAUGGGCGAGAGCCUGAACCAGCCAAGUAGCGUGAAGGAUGAAAGGUCCUAUGGAUUGUAAACUUCUUUUAUAGUAGAAUAAAGUGAUCCACGUGUGGAUUUUUGUAUGUAUACUAUGAAUAAGGAUCGGCUAACUCCGUGCCAGCAGCUGC